AACCCACUAAGAUGGCUUCCUUUGUAUCCUUCCUAGUGCUGCUUCUUGCAGCCCUUAUCCUCAUGCCUCAAGGGCUUGCUACUUACUACAAACCAAUUAAGAAGCCACCAGUGUACAAGCCUCCAGUGUACAAGCCACCAGUGUACAAACCACCGGUUUAUAAGCCAAAACCACCGGUUUACAAGCCGAAACCACCGGUUUACAAGCCACCAUAUAAGAAGCCACCAUACAAGAAACCACCUUAUGGAAAGUACCCUCCAGUAGAGGACAACACCCAUGCCUAAAGCAAGCAAUGAGGUCUAUUAUCUACUUAAUAAAUAAGAGGAACUGCUUUGUGUUUUCUAGCAUUGUGACUUACAACUUCGUAGCAAUGCAUAUUCUUGACUCUUGCAUGCACUUCAAUCCUUCGUAGCAUUAAUGAUGUGGCCAAGUCAUCAUGAGCAUCAUACUUAUUUCUUUGUGAAUGUAAAUCAAAAUUAUAAGAGAGAAAAUGGUGCUUUUGUACUACAGAUUACUAUAAAUAAAAAACUUUUAUGGUUUUCAGAUUGUGCUGGUUGAUUGAUUUGCUCUACCAUUAAUUAUGACGAAACGUAGUUUUUUUUUUUCUCUUUUUUAAUCCGUAAAAAUAAAAAAAAUAAAAAAAUAAAUUUAUAAUAAUUCACACUUUAUUUAAUUAAUCGAAAUAAAUUCCAUAAUAGAUGAUACAUAGUUUGACAUACUAUUGUUAAGCUUAAGAUUAAAGAUCGACCCUAUGUUGCAACUAAACUUUCUACAAUCAAUUUUAUAAAUUGGAUUGGUGCAUGUAAGUCUAGCUAGCUAGAGGCAGAAGAACAGUACUAGAGUAGUAGAUGGAAGCCACUCUCCACGCACCUCAAAUAACUCGCAAUUAAACUUGAGCAUAACAUCAAUAGCGACUUAAGUUAAUUUCAAUUAUGGGCUCUAUUUGAACAAAUUUCUCUAUAAAUAUUUCCAGAAGAAAAUAUUAAGAAAACAAUAAAUUGAACUUCUCAUUUAAGUUAAAAUAAACAUAUUUGUAUAUUUUUUAUAUAAAAACUCUCAUUUAACUUCUCUUAAAAAUAUUGAAGUAUAUAAAUUAAUUUUAGCUUAUGAAAAAAAAAAUCAACUUAUUUUAAUUUUCUAUUCUUAAAAAGCCAUAGUUAUAGUUAAUGUGUACAAAGACCAGUUCCUACGAGAGUUGCUGUAUCCUCCUAAACCAAAUAUCCGAAUACUCCUACUCAGUAAGAAUAUUUUGAUAUCUGUUAAUAAUUUUAUAAUAAAUUAUUUAUUUAAUUUGACAUUUUAAUAUUUAAUUUCUUUCCAAGUUUACCCCUUUUCCAUAUGACCAGUCAACUUAUCCUCUUCAUUCGACUUUAAAAAGAGUGGGUGGUGGUGCGGUGAAGCUGAAAACCACACACAAUGAUGGUGGUGGAGAAUGUGAAAAUGGUUGUGGUCGGAGAAGGAGGUACAAGGGACAAAGUUAACUGAGGAAAAAAAAAACUCAGCGUGAGAGAGGGUCUUUUGAAAAAAAGGACAAAUUUGGAAAGGAGAAAAAAAGUUAAAAAGUGUGUUAACAAGUGUGAAUGCUUAGGUGAUUCAGUUACUUUUUCGCCACAUAUGAUCGGAGGAAUAAACAUUUCUCUUUUUCAUAUUACUAUUUUUGUAUGUUUGUCUACACGUACAUGUGGACGGUUAUUUGUAUCAAGUAUCAACUACAUAUGGGUGUCAAAAUUUAAAACUGAACCGAAUUUAAUGAAUUGAUUCAACAACUCUAAUAUAUAUGUGAUGUGAUUUGAAUUUUAAUAAUUUGCGUACGAUUUUAAUUUAAUUUUGAACCUACUUCAGUACAAAAAUUUACGUAUAAUCUUACUACAAGUACUUAAGUCACCACAAUCAUCUACACUCACAUCUUGAAAAAGUGACAUUGAUAGCAAAUUCAUGAAGUACUCACAGCUAACGUCAUUUGAUGGUUGAAUGAACCCCUCAGCUACCCAUAGCUGAAUGAGUGUUCUCUUAUCAAACUCAAAACCUUUUGGAAACAAUGAACAAUAAGCAAAACAGUUUUCCAAAAAUGAAGGAAGAUGGUCAAAACUCAGUUUAAGGAUUGCAAAGAUUUUGUCCUUCUCUUGAUCUAUCUUUGAAAACCCAACUUCCUUAGAGGCUAUUACUAUGCGCACCCAGCAUAAUUACUGGUACAUCCAGCAUAACAGCAUAAUUCCCGUUUUGUCCUUUCCUAAAAUUGAUACAAAUUGUCAAUUCAUAUAAGAUUUACGGAUUGUCCAAUCUGUAAGUAGCCCAAAUAUUUUUUUAAUUUUUUUUUUAAAAAAAUAUGUUUUAUGAAUUAAUUUAAAAUUAAUGAUUCAUGCAAGAAUCAAACUUAUAACUUUCACGUUAUUAACACGACAUUCUAACCAAUCUCAAUAUUCUUGUCAACCCUUUUAAGUUAUUUUCUUUAUGUUAGUUUUUAACCGAUGUUGAAAGUGCCGAUGUUGAAUGUAUUAUCGUUAACAUCGGUUUUAAAAAAACUGAUGUUAACGUUAAUUUUACAACAUCGUUUAUUUAAAUAACCAAUGUUGAUAAUAAGAAUUACACCCAAAAAAAUGUAUUAAUGUUGAUAGUUAACAUCGGUUUUUUGGAAAAAUCGAUGUUAACGUAACUUAACAUCGGUUUUUUUAUAUAAAAUUGAUGUUAACGUAUGUGUUAAUGUUGACAGUUAACAUCGGUUUUUUGGAAAAACCAAUGUUAACGUAACUUAACAUCGGUUUUUUUACAGAAAACCGAUGUUAACGUAUGUGUUAAUGUUGACAGUUAACAUCGAUUUUCUGUAAAAAAAAAGAAAACCGAUUUUAACGUACGUUAACAUCAGUUUUUUCCAAAAACCCGAUGUUAACGUAUGUGUUAAUGUUGACAAUUAACAUCGGUUUUUCCAAAUAAUCGAUGUUGUUUUCAGGAUUUUUUUUUAAAUAUUCUCUCUGUUUUUACAAAAAAAACCAAAAUUUAACCUGUAAAUUUAAAAUUAGACCACACAGCAUAUAUGAUUUGCAUUUUGCUUUCAAAUAGGUUUUAGCAGAAAACUAGCUAGUAAACUAUUAAAAUGAAACAUCAAUUGUAAAAAAUGUAAUGCAAAGUACGGUAAACUAAUUAAGUAACCUAAAGUUACAUAGUUCCCUAACAUCCUAUGUUUGAUUUCUAACUUUUAGAUAAUAUUGUGCCCACUGCAUGUGAAGCGCCUUGAAUCUCUCUGCUUCCAAUGAUCUAACAUCAUUAAAAUACUGGAUGAUCAAAUAAAAGAUAAAUUAAUGAUGUAAUAACAAUGAUAAGAAAAUCAACUUUGUUUGAAAUAAACAAUUACCGUUUCUCAAUUAUUCCUGAAAGUUCCUGAGAUUAUCGUGGACAUCUAGUGCAUGACGUAAUAGCUGUACUCAGUGUUUCGUUUUUGUCUAUUACACUAAAUACAUAAUGAAAUUUGGAUAUUAAUUAAGCGUUAACUACAAUUAGUGUACACACACAUAAGCAGUAUAUAUAAUUAGAAGUUUAAUUUAAAUCACGUACCUUAACAACAAUCCACCUAGCCGCAGCCUUGGAUUUAGGUUGUGGAGUAUCAUCAAGUCCUUUCAAAGCACUAUUGAAUACGAGGAACAUUAAAAUAUUGAUGUUGUUGAGUUAUGCUAAUGCAAAUAUAUUGAAAACAACAUUGACCUGUUAAUUAUUCCCUUAAGGUAGUUGUCUGGCCUGUUAUGUAAAGAACAAAACCAGACAACUAGGUUUUCCUUAGGCAAAAUGACGACCAUUUGCCAGUGUCCGCUGCAGUGGAGACGAAUAUGGGCUAUUGUAAUAGUAUAGAUUAUUUAAAUUCAGUUGUUGUGUUUGACUUACCAAUUCAGGUAAGCUCCAAGGUAAACAUCGCGUUUUGAACCCUGCAUCCAACUCUUGAUGUAACUUUUCGAUUCAAAUUGUGAUUGCCCAAAUCUCUGAAUGGACUGUGGCUCGAGAAAUCCAUACACAUCGGAAUUCCCCGCUCACAUACUUGUCUCAGUCAGAUGCCUGUGUUGUUAAGACAAAGUUAAUUAUGUAUGAAUUUAAAACAAUUACUUUGUUAAUUAACAGUAAUCUAAAUUGACUUACAAAAUUCACAACUGUAUAACAGAGAUGCUGAGACAUUGACCACCGUGUGCUAUUUCAUACAGAUCUUCAUGCUUUAUGUACAAGGGAAAGUCUGAAUUAAACAGCCCGAACAGGGAAGCAUCCCACAUAACCUUGAGAGGCUUCAAAAACAAUUGUGGGAUGGUCAAUGUCAUCAGAUGCAGAGGAUCAUCGACCUCACGAUCCGGGCUUUUUGGAGGUUUUGCUAGAGACACAACUGCCUGUUAAUCAAACAUAGUUAAUUAACAAGUUUUGAUUACAGUGAACAAAUCAAUUGAAAAAAAGAAACAUAUAAUCAGAGUAAAAUACCUGUUCUGAUAAACGUUUCACGAGAUGUAUCGGCCAAGCAAGGAAGGUGUUAAGUGUCUGCCCCACUAAGGUAACCUUGUCAAUGGGUACAGGAACGGGAGUCUCUGCAUCUUUAACCUCCUCAACACCAACCUUCACUUGGCCAUGCAACAAAGGGAUGUUAUGAACCACUGUGGAUCCCUCAUAAAGUCUUCCUAGGGCAACCAAGUAGGAAGGAUUUUCUUCAAUUUACAGCCCGCAUUUGUCUGAGUCAUCCGUCUCUGGAUCGUUCCCUGAGGAAUCAACACAACUCUUCUUUGUGCUGACACGAGCACUUGAGGGACCAACCUUUGGCUCCGGAGGCAGUGUAAAUCCCUGUGAUUGCAUCUGAGACUGAAACUGGGACUGCAUUUGGCUGAAGGAUGCCAUCACCUGCUGAGUAACUUUUUCUGUGAUCGACUCCUCCAGCUAGUCCCUGAUUUGUUGGGUUAACUGUUGUAGGUCUUCAGGAGGCAUAGAGGAAGAACUACGGGACAUUCGUGUAGCCAAUCCGAAAUAUUGCUUUAUGGUCACAUCAGCUCCAGCAGCACGGACACGGCCAGGGUGCUCUGAUCGCCCAAUGACAACAGUCAGGACAUCCUGACGUCUAUGGGGGACGAACGAUCCCUGUGACGCCUGCUCCUCCAAAGAAUCCUGUACAUAACACAUAUAUCUGUCCAAGGCAUUCACAAAAUACACAAAGAUAAUUACAAUUCUUAAUUGAAAAUGACUUACAAUCUUCUCAGUUAUUUCCUUUGUUGCCUCAGACGUCAUCGGCCCAGUUUUCUUUGUGUAGACCAUUUUUCACUUCAUGUGGCGUCUGAUGGGAGAUGGAGGGUCAAUGACGCCCUCAGUGCUUUCGGAUUGGGCAGCUUCCUCCAGUCUUUUCUUUGUCUUCUCAGCCAUAAGCUUUUGUUCUAAAUAUUCAUAACCCCCACGAAACAACACGUGGGGGGCAGUGUUUUGCUUCUGGAUGACUUGUGUUUUUUUCCGCACAUCCUGCAAAAAUCGAACAUUAAUGAAAAUGAUUACUACAAUGAAUUAUAAGAAGUUAUUUUUUUUGUGGAAAACAACUAAAAUGACAAACUACAUACCUCCCACGAGGGGUCUCUGCGGGUCUGACAAAACUUGGCCCAUUUCUCCUUGCUAAUGUCGCAUUUUUCACAGACAGUGUCGUCCACACCGUCCUUGUCGGCUGCAAGUGCCCAUUUCCUGGUCAAGUCAGAUUUAAACUGCCUCCACGGCUUGUCGACAGUCUGAAGAAUUUUCUUCUUUGUCCUACUGUUAGAAGCUUCAGGGAUUUCAGAUGUUAAGAUCAAGUAGUUAACAUCGGUUUUGACAUCGGUUUUGAAAAAACCGAUGUUAACUAACUCGACUUAUUUACAAAAAUGUCAUCGUGCUUUUCUUAACAUUGGUUUUUUAAAAAAUCGAUGUUAAUCGUGCGAUGUUAAAUCUAUAUUUUGUAGUAGUGUUUAGGUAUCUCAUAAAUUAGUCAAUUUUAUUUUGAGUUCUUAAAUUUUUUUCUUUUUAUUUGAUCCUUGAUAUUUUAUUUUUGAGUUCAUGCCGUUAAAAAUUUUAAAAUGCAAUUUUUUACUACUAAAAAUAAUAACAAUGUAAAUUUAUUUAAAAUAUUAAAUUACCAUUUAUGGCAAUUCAAUUGGAAAAAAUGAAGUAGAUAUGAUCAAAUAAAACCUUACAGACAAGACGAAGUCUAAGGUGGUCAAGUGAGUUAGGUGAUUUCUGGUGGUCAAAUAAUUUUUUGCCAAUAGAUUUAUUAAUAAAAUAUUAAACCAUUCAGAUGAAAUCUUUUUGUCAGUUUUUAACAAUUAAAAUUAUUUCCUCCCUUGUCUGUCGUGCACCACCAUUGGCAACACGUCACUACCUUGCUUUACUUUCCACUCUUCUUCUUUCCCUCUAUUUCCCUUCGUACUUUGACACCUCCGUAACCUCACUGUCAUGUUGUUGAAUUCACAUCCUUGAUUUUAAUUAUGACAAACCAUUAGCAAAACAAAUUGAAAGGAUGAUGGGUUUAAGUGAUGGCUAACAUUUCUCCCAAGCGUUUUAGUGUUUAUUCCUUAAGAAGCAUAAGUGUUCUUUCAUUCUGAUGUACUUAGAAUGAUGCUUAGAAAGGUUCGAAGAAUUGUUGUGAGAGUUGAAAACUUAGAAGAAUCCUUAAAGCCCAUCAAAAUGAUGAAAUUUGCUUCCCUUUGAAUACUUAGUUCUUGGCAAGAUACUGAACAACCUUACAUAAAAGAUUCAUCAAAAGAUUCAUCAAAGGCUACCAGAAGAACAUCUUGGUUUAGAAUGAAGUUAUGCAGAGUCUACAUAGAAUGACAAACACCUUGACUCUGAGUUUCUAAACAUCAGAAUGAUUCAGAAAGACUCAUAAUGCAUCACUUAAACAAUAUUAGAAGAUUAAAGUUUCACAUUUCUUCACUUUGCAUAUGCCACCACAAUCACUGUAGGCACGUUAGAAAGUAAGAAUUGACUGCAUAAAAAGAUGUAAAAUUGUUGAAUGAUGAAGUUGUCCAUGAGAAGCAUUAAUGUAAACCAUCAGAUUGAAGGACUAAAGAAAACUACUCAGCCUGACCAUAGACAAAACACUAACACACCAACAACUCAAUUUCUACUAAGUCUUUCUAAAGUAAAUCAACUUAAGAAUGUUUCAAAGUUGUGAACAAGUGUUAAGAGUGAUGAAGUUGUACGACUUCGGAUUGAAAUUUCUAUCUAAACUUCGUCAAAGGAAUUCAUUAAGCAUGGACUCAUUCUUUACAAACAUCAUAAUGACUAUUGUGAUGGUUCUUCAGAAUCCGCAUAAAAAAAGUUCCUCAGAAUGGUAAUCUCCAAAUGGUUUUGUCUACUGUCACUUCAUGAUAGUUAUAAGGUGAACCUACUUGCUCCAGAAAUGUUUCAGUUGUGUGGAGCCCACUACAAUGAUUUUCUUGGGAGCUUUAUAAGGAAUUUUAGAAGGCUAUGAAGAACAAGUUGAAGCAUUCCAAAUUUGUAUCACAUUGUGCAAGUCCUUUGAGUAAGAAAUUUGUGUUUUAGCUUCAACCCUCUCUGUUAGAGUGACCCACUUUUGUAUUGUGCUUUCAAAGCUUGUAAUAACCUUAGAUAGAAAUGAGAGAUUAAGUUCUUGAGUGGAAUCCCUCAUGUGAGGUGAAAAUCUUUAGCAUGUGUCGUAAAACCAUAGAUAUUUUUUUUUUAUGUAAAGUCCAAUAGUGACUAGCAAAGGUGAAAUCCAGUGGUGCAGCUGGUCUAGUAGAAGAUUGAAGUCUAGUAAGGAAUUGACAAGGUUGUGAAACCCAAUGGUUGUUGGUCCAGUUGUGAAUUGGUUGUGUUACUGAAAUAACAUCUUUAAGGGUGAGGAUUGGACGUAGCCCAAGGUUGGGGUGAACCAGUAUAAAAACCUUUGUGCACUUUCUUCUCUUUCUCUAUAUUUUGUUCUUGCACAAAUCUAAAACUACUUUUGUAUAAAAUACUAAAUUUGUUAACUUUUUAUCUUAACAACUAAACUAAGUUUUGUUUUAUCAAGAGGUAUUAGUAAAGAACUAUCUUUAAAACAAAAGUCUUAAAACUGCAAAAGAACUAUUUUUUUGAAUGGUUUGCAUUUUCAUUCUGAGUUGCUUGAAUUUCCAUUCUAAGCUCAUAACAGUUUUUAUAUUCUGAACUACCAUAAAAAAAACCUUUUUGUUUUCAAAGGAAGAUUAAAAGUUUUCAAAACCCCAAUUAAACCCCCAUUUUUGGUAUUUUUCUCACUUCAAUUAGCAUCAAAGUUUAAAUGAGUUAUUCACGAGCCCUUAAUGUCAAGCUUUCAAAGCUUGAGUUUGACUCAUUUAAAUAAUCAAGCUUAAUCUCAAGCUUAAAUUUGUUUGUUUAAUUAAACAAAUGAACUUAAAUGAUUAAUUAACAAGUUGAACUUGAAUAGUUCACAAAUAGUUUGUCUUAUUCACAUCCCUAACUCUUCAUUUUUUUAUCCAUAGGAAUUGAAUAAGAUAUAAAAAAAUUUAGAACACUCAGACACCCUGCUUAAUCAACUAAGUUAGACACCUUUAGUCCCUAACUCUUCAUAUGGUUAUAAUCAUAUUCUAGUAACAAUAUGUUUCAUUUCACUACCUUACUAAAUUACAGGACUGACUUCAUUAUUUUGCAACACCCUUUACAUCACAUCAUUCAUUCAUAAAAUUUGCAUUAGUUAAAUAAAAUUAUUCAUCAUCAACAACUAUGUAAUGUAUACCACCAUGCAAUCAAAGGAUAAGCAAUUAAGAAAAUAUUUAAGCUUAUAUAAUCCAAGUAGCAUGAUUGCCUUAAUUGGUACAUAAUGCAAGGCAUAAAAACCAAAAAGUGGCAGUAUGUGUAAUAACAAAAUGAAACAAAGGAAGGAGAAAAAAUUAUUUGUGUGUUACAAAUAAAGAGGAGGAAGAAGGAAUAAUUUAAAAAUAACUCCAUAUAUUAUUUGUUCUAUUAUUUUAUCCAAUGAAUUGUGAAGAAAAUAGAUGCAUUAGUAACUAAUUAUCUAUAAAAUUAUAUGAAUUGGUCCAAUAUAUUAUUUAUUUAUUUUGUAAUUGAAGAAUUUUCUCAUGAUUAACUUAGAUGAAUAAUGAAUAAGUUAAUUAUUUUGUUGCUCCUAAUUUAACCUGGUGUGUCUAUAACUCAUGGUUCAGGUUGACCCAUUCUCUUAAUCUAACUUUGUUUGUUCAUUGAGUUGCUCUUUAAUAUGGGUGGGCUUAUUAUCAACAUGGCCAGUAAUAAUGGGAAUUGAAUCAUGCACUCUCAUAAGUGUAUCCUAGAUCCCACUAUUCCGUUUGAAAUUAUUUGAUUGCCUUUAAUCAAUUAGCACUAUCUUCCCCAACCCAUUCGCGAUGUCUCCCUCCUACGAAGGUUGCUCCCUUCCUCCUUCGUCUCAAACCUGCAUAUCCUCGUUCCCUUCCUUCUUCGUCAUUGAAGGCAAGCUUCUUCCUUUCUGGUGGGGUUGGGGUUGGGUUCUGGUAGGGAUGGGUUUUGGGGGUGGCUUCUGGUAGGGGUGGUUUCCGGUGUGGAUGGGGUCGCAUUUCAAAAUGCUCAUUCUGUAACCAAAAAAUGCUUUCGGAAUGAGCUUUCCAUAAGCAAAAAAAGCUUCAAUUUUUCAUAAGCCAAAAAAACAUUCAGAAUAGUUGUUCUGGAAGUACUUUAGCUUAAGCAACGACUAUUCCAUAAGCAAAUUUGUAAAUCCAAAACAUCCUGUCUAGAAGUGUAUUUUAUAUAUUUUGUAAGGGGGGUUCCAAAAAUUAGUAUUGGGCUUACAAAAAGCCCAUUAUGGAAGCAACAUCUGCAAUCCAAAGUAGCCUUUCCAAAAGUGUAUUUUGCAUCUUUCAAAAAGUACGAUUUUGGCUUAUGGAAUGACCAUUUCGAAAACAAAAUUGCAAUCCAUAAUAGUUUUUUGGGAGUACAUUUUGUACCUUCCAAAUGUUCAUUUGAGACAACAAUAUUUUUACUUACGAAAUAGGUGUUCCAUAAGAUUUUUCCUUCUGAAAUGGUCAUUCCAUAAGUGAAUUUAUCCCUUACGGAAAGCCUAUUUCGGAAACAAGUUUACAACAUGAACGUGAAUGCACGUUAAAAUGUACCUGCAAAGUGGAGAGUUAGAGAAGGAGAGGGACUUUUGCGGUGUUGAGUUGGACUUGCUUUGUACCUUCAAUGGUUGCGAGAAAAAGAGUUGGAGAAGAUAAGAAGAACUGGAAAAGGGGUUUAGACUUGCGCUAUAGGAAGAGAAGAACGAGAAUGGGCUGCAACUACGAGAGAAAGAAGGGAAACCGAGGAUGAGGAUAGAAAGGGUAGGUUGGGGUUUAUUAAAAAAUGGGAGAUGCAUGAUACAUUUAGGGAGGUGCAGAAUUCCAGUAAUGACCAACUCAAGUCCAAUUAAUGGUGACAUCAUAAGUUAAUGACUUAGUGUCACUUUUGAUCCAUUAUGUUUCGCAAUUAUUUUGUUUUAAUACAUUGAGUUUAAAAUGUUUCAUUCCAAUCCUUUAUGUUUUUGAAAUAUAUUGUUUUGACUCUUUUUCUAAUUUUCUAUUUGAAAUGUUAGUUUUUUGUUAAUAUUUAAAUUUCAAAAUAAUUAAUUUAUGACAGUGGUGAUUAAAAAUCGUCACAAUAUUUAAAUUAAUUAUCUUAUUAUAAAUAUAAUUAUUUAAACAUUAAUUGUAGCAAUUUUUAAUUCCAACAAAUUUCUUAUUAAAUUUUUAUAAAUGAUUCUUCAUCCUUGAAGAUUCAAUCUUCAUUCCACAAAUCAACAAAUGCAGUUUACAAAUAGCAAGAACAAUUUUUAUUUGCAAGAAACAUAGAGAUGUUCACUCAAUAAUGAUAUAAAACUUGUUCUUUUUUACACAACAAAACACAAUGAGCCCUUUUUUUUUUUAUCACAUAUGACGAAAGCAACAGCUCCAGGGUCAUUAAUUAGCUUUGCAAACGGGAUCUGAUAAUCACAACCGUGGUUGAUAAUCCUCCAAUGUAAUUUGUGUUUAUAAAUUUUAUUUUUUACUCCUUUAUAUACUAUUCAUUUUCUAAAAAAGAUUACUCAUGUAUGUAACUAAAGAUUAUAUUUUUUGUUUCUGUUUAAAAAAAUGUUUUCUUAUGUUAAUUUUUUUUCUUAAUCGAUGCUUUAAUGAUAUAAGUAAUUAACUAUUUGCUCCUGCAAUGUAGUUUAAGUGUUAUGCUACAUUGUUAGUUUUUAUAUAUGCAUGUGGGAAGGUUCACUUGGAACAAGUUGCAGUGCAAACUUGGAGUCUAAUAUACAUAUAACCAUUAAUGGAAGCCUUCAUUCCAAUAGACAAUAUAUAUAAGUUGUUUCGUGCUUAUAAAAUUGUAAUGUUUUUUGUAAAGGAUGUUUAAGUGUGUCAAAUAUGUUAUAGCAAGGCAAGGUACGUAGCAGUAAACUUUAAAUGAUGAGUCAAGCAUUUCCAGUAAAUCUACUCUAAUUGCAUGUUUACAUUGAAAUUUUAAAGUAUUAUUCAUUUUAUGUUAGUAGUCCUACAGCUGGCUACUAGCUAGCAUGAAUGUUUAUGUUGUUAUUUUGUGGAGAAAGUCAAAUAAUUGUUUUAGGUGAUUAAUUUCACGCAUUUAGAUAUGGAUGCUGAAAAUUCUUAAGUCAGACUUUGAAUUGUUUCAUGUUCAUAUUAAUAUUCAUAUAAAGAGAUAAACAAAUAUGUAACUUAGCUCUAUUUUUGUUUUGGUGAAUUAGCUCUAUUUAUUAUAGUCUAAUAAUAAUGGCUGCAUGUUGGACUAAAUAGCAGAAAUAUACUUUGCGGAGAUCAUUAAUUGUGAUCAAAAUUGUGGCAUUUUUUUAUUACCACUCAUAAAAUUAUCACCAUGAAAACCCUACUAAUUACGCAUUUAACGAUCCUCAAUUAUUUCAGUAAAAUAAAUUUUUGUCUACCUUAAUUUUUUUUUUCUGUAAAAUUCUCCUAUAGUUAAAUUUACAAUAGAAAUUUUCAAACGAUACUUUUUUUAAGUAAAUAAUUAAUUAAAUUUAUGCAAAAUAAUUAAAUUAGGUCAUAUCAAAUUUAAUAUGAAUUAGAUUAUUAUUUUAAUACUUAUUUACUUACAUAAAAAUAUUUAUUUUUUAAAAAAUAUAAUUAUUCACAUGAGAUUUAUAGCAAAUAAUUUUUUAACUUAAUAUUUUUAUAACUUAUUACAACUUUUUUAAACAUUAUACACCAUUGUUUUAUUUUUUGCAAUUUAUUUUUCUGUAGUUAAGGUACAACUUUGAUGAGGAAAAUGGACCAAUAUUAUAGAUAAAUCACAUUAGUCAAAAAAAUGUGAAUAAGAUGAUUUAUUAAAAAUCAUAUCACCAUUAAUUUAAUGUUUUAUAUAAAAGACAGGUUUGAUAAUGAGUUUAUAGUUUAGGAAAUUUAAAUUAAGUGAAGGGUAAAAUGUCAUGAAUAAGUUUGAAAAUUCAUAUCUUAUUUUUAGGUAUUGAGAGAAGGAUAAUGAAUUUUAAUGAUUUUAAUAUUGUUUAUUUGAAUUUGUGCAUUCGUUCAAUGAAUUUUAUUUUUCAAUAAAAAUAUCAAAUGUAGAAAAUAAAAUAAAAGAUUUUUUCUUUUUCACUAUUUUGAUUCUUAAUUUCAUAAAUAUUUUAAAUAAAUUUUAUAUUAAAAUUAAAAAUAUAAUAAAAAUAUUUGUUUUAAUCAAACGUGUUUUUAUUUUUUAUAUGAUUUUGAAAAGAAAUUAAAAGAGAGAAAAUACAAAAUUUUACUCACAAUAUAAAUUUUUUUCAUGAUAUAAAAAAAGAAAAUAGGAUUAAUAAAAUUUUGUAUGAUAAAAUAAUUAAUAGUAAAUUUAUUUAUUCUUUCUUUUACUUAUCAUUAUUUUAAAAAUAUAUAAAAUUUCAUCAAAAAUAAAUAUAUUGUAAUUCUUCCUCAAGUUAAAUGAUAUAUAAAGUUAUAUUUUCUUAACUCUAAUUUUUCUUUAUAUAUAUAUAUAUAUAUAUAUAUAUAUAUAUAUAUAUAUAUAUAUAUAUAUAUAUAUUUUGUUAAAUUUCCCUUUACUUCCAAAUAAAUAAUAAUUUUCAUUUUCCAAAACAAAAUUAGGUGAAGAGAUGAUUUGGAAAAAUAAGUAAAAUUUGAGAUAAUUAUUUUUAAUUAUAUAAAAAUUUCUAAACAAAAAUUGUAAAUGUUUAUCUGUCAUUAUUUUUCUGAAGUUUUAAAGUUAUUGUUUAAAAAAAAUUACACCUCCUACACAUAAUUUGUCCAGUGUGUCGCACAGAAACAUGUACUAGUGUAUGAAUAUAAGAAUAACACAUCCUUAUAUAAGUAAUUUGGUGUGAUCAUUUAUAUUUUCUUUUUCUUUUAUGUGAUUCUCAUCAUAUAAUAUAAACGGUAAUAUUAAUAUAUCGUUAGUUUGAGUAAAAUUAAGUUUAUUUUUUAAAAAUAAAAUCUAAGAUUCAAAUGUUAUAAAUAAAUAAAAAAUAUGAUUAAAAAAAAGCCAUCUAAUUUUUUUUGACAAAGGUUAAUGAUAAGUUUAAUCUGAGCAAUAACAUGACAGUAGAAGCAACCGACUGCAACUCGUCUACUUGAAUAUCUUCCUAAUAAUUGUUUCAACUUUCAAGCCUCGUGUGCUUUGACAUUUAUGCUCCAUAUCCUGAAAAUUUUGAUAAGAUAAGGGACCAAUCUAUACACAGUCCCAAGGAGAUUUGCAAGUAAGAAGAGAAAAAAAUAAAAUUCCAGACCCAUUGUUGGUGAAGGCGAAAUGUGUAGUGGGUUGUCAACGCAAUGCAAUGGUUCACAGUGUGCUGGUCUUAUUGAUGUUUUUUGGUUGCAGGUUCAAUGGUGGUUCUGAUGUAGAGAAGAAGAUGAAAGGGCCAAGGAGGAGAGAAUGGAACAGAGGAAGAAGAAGAGGGUAGAUGAGGAAAGAGAGAAAGAAAAAUCCAAAAAGAAAAUAAAAAUCCCAGCCAUUGAUUUUAAUUUUAAAAUAUCUAAUAAUUUCAAUUAGUUUCCCACUAUGCCAAUCUCGUAAAACUUUCGUCUGGCACCGUGCCUCGCUGUUGAAGGGUUCCCAUGCUAGCAUCUGCCAACACGAUCUGACAUUUCAACUAGGGGUGGGUAUAUCGGUCGGUUUAGUCCGUUUAAGAUCUGACAUGUGAAAUCAAUAUUUUAAGCUUAUUGGGUAAAUCUGGUUGUAAAAUAGAAAGAUUUUUUUUCUUUUUUUUAGAUUUAUAUUGGUUUCCUAAUCCGGUAAAUAAACGAAUUGGUCCGUGGGUUCAAUUAAUAAUUUAAAAAUAAAAAUAAAAAUAUAUUUUUAAUUAUUUGGUAGGUUCGCAAGCAAGAGAGGGGCAACACACGUCAACUGAAGAAGAGAAAGUAAUCUUGUGGAUCUCGUGACAGAAUGAGAGCUGGAGAAGGAGUGAGAGUUAAAAAGAAGAGACUGCCAAGUAUAAAGUCUCAACUCAAAUACUAAAUUUAUGUAAUUUUUAUUUUAAAAUUAAUUUUAUCUUAUUAGUAAAUCUGUGUAUAAAAUUCGUUAAAUUUGCAUACUUAACGAAUCAAACUCAAAUAUUAUUUAUAAUUAUAUGGAUUUAUAAAAAAAUAAAUUGAUAAUAUGCUCAAUCCACGAAAAUAACGGACCGUCCCCGCAAACCUGAAUAGUCAUCCCUAAUUUCAACGGAGUGGAAAGUGGGAAACCAUGAAACUUGCUACGUACUGUGAAAUUAAAAGGUCCGUACUAAUGUACGAAAUUAAUAAUCUUCUCCUCCCUUGUCGUCAUUUCUCACCUCAUCAUAUACAUAAUAAUACAUUAGUACUUUUUUAGGAGGACAGGCCAUAUAUAUUUUUAACACAUUUUUAAUAUUAUUUGUUGUUAAUUAGUUUUUUAAUAAAUUAUAAGUUAAGUUAAAAUUUAUUAAAUUUACAAAACUAUAAGAAAAAAACAUUAAAUAAGAUGUAGGAUCUACAAAAUUUAUAAUUUAUAAUAAAUUUUAACUAAUAAAUUUUAACUAACAAAUUUUCAGCAUUUUUCUAUUCUUUUAGACUACAAGUAUUGAUUAAGUUAAAACAACCAUGUGUUAAUGGUUCCUAUAGUAAUAUUAUUAGGAUAGAAUAUAAUUAUUUUUGGUACAAAAAUACAUGGGAUUUAGAUAAAAAAAAAUCCUGUUAAUUAAUGUUACAAGAUACAUUAUUUAAACAUUUAAAAAUUAACAUUACAUUUAGCAUUUCAAGUUUUCAACGGAGUAGAAAGUGGGAAACGAUGAAAUUUGCUACUCUUAAUUUAAAAGGUUCGUACUAUAAAUUAUAAUGAGAUUCGUCUUUACUUUCGCACCCUCUAUACAUUAUAGUAAUUUAAAGUGCAUGUGAUAUGGUAUGCGAAUAUUUCUACCUGUUGUUUAAAAUUUAUUUAGAAUAUAGUACGACACUGAAACAUUAUUAUCUCAUAAAAAAAAUUUAUAUAAUUAAAAAUAAAUUUAAUUUAAUACAUUGAUAAUAUAAUUUUUUUAUAUCAUCAAUUAAUUAAAAAUCAUUCUAAAUAUAAAUUUUAAAAUAACUAUUAUAAAAGUAAAAAAAAUUAAUAUACACAACAAUUCAUAAUUAGAUGACAUUGCGUUUUAAUUAAUUCAUUGAAAAUUAGUGCCUUUUAUAAUAAAUAAUCUAGAAGUGAUAUUUAAAGUGGUUUCUAAUUAGUUAUUAGUAUACAUUUUUACAGUAGCAUAGUUUUAAAAUUAAACUUCCAGUAUAUGUUUUUAUUUUCUAGAUAUACAUGCAGAUUAAAAAUAUAUUUUAAAACUAAAGGAGACUUUUUUGUUAUAUAAUAAUAAUAAUAAUAAUAAUAAUAAUAAUAAUAAUAAUAAUAUAAAGUGAGAGAUGGAAAUGUAUGAGGGGACGAUGUUCGAUUUAUUUUUAUGAUGGGAACAUAAUUUUUUAAAAUAAAAAAUAAUUAGAAAAUUUUAUUUAAAAUAUUUUUAUUAUUAAUAUAUCUCUUAUUAAAAUUAUAUAUAUAUAUAUAUAUAUAUAUAUGAGAUUGCUAGCAUACUCUAAUGUUAGAGUAUUUAAAUAACCUACAUCAAAUUAUUAGAAUAAAAAGCUUAACUAUUUAUUUUGUGAUAAUAAAUUUAUUUAAAAAAAUAUGAUAAUUUAAUAUUUAUAUUUUUAAAAUUCAUUUAUUUAUCUCUUCAACUCAUUCUCUCUCCUCUCUUUUUCUCUCACAUCAUUUAAUAUUUAUAUUUUCAAAAUUAAAAUUUAAAAUAUUUACCGAGAGAAUGAAUGAGGAAAAUAAAUAAAUGAGUUUUAAAAAUAUAAACAUUAAAUUAUCAUAUUAUUCUUAAAUAAAUUUAUUAUCACACAAUAAAUAGUUUAAUCUUUGAUCUAAAUAAUUUGGUGUAGGUUAAAUACUCUAACAUGAGAGAGUAAGUUAACAAAUCAUUUUAUGAAUGUACGUAUGGGAAGGAAGAAUGUAAUAGAAAACAAAAAAGAAAGAAAAAGAAGGAAAUUAAAAAUAAUAAAUGUAAUUAAUGAUUUAAGAAAAAAAUAAAAAUAUAGUAUACAAACGAGAAAAUAAUUACAGUCAGACUCAGAAACUGUCAUGAUAUUUAUUCAUCUCUAAGUAAAACAUAAUUUUAUUUUAUUUUAUUUUCCCCUCAGAAUUUUAAAAACUCAAGUGUCUCAUGUAUAGCCAAAAAAACCAUAGACGCAUGGUAGUUGGAGAGCCGAGAGCCUACAAUUAUUUCUGAGACAAAAGAUGGAAGAUAAAGUUUACAUAAUUGUUCUCUCUCCAAUUUCUAUUAUAAGAAAAAAAAUAAUUUCAUAUUAAUUAUAAAAUUAAUUAAUUUUAUUAAAUUAUGUUAAUUCCAAAUAAAAAUAAGUUUUUUAAAAAAAUUAUUUUUCAUUAAAACUUGAUAUCAAACAUAAAAAAAAAAUUAUCCUAUCAAAUGAAAGACAUUUAUUUAAAAAUAGUUUUAUUAAAUACGGUAAAGUUAAUUAACUUUUGUUUAUAUAAAAAAAAGCAAUUUUUUUGUUGCUUAUUAAAAAGACCAGUGGGAGUACUAAUUAAAACAAAACUAUGGCUGCUAUGUAACAUGGCACCAGAGAGUCUCAAUCCUUAGAGAAAUUAAAUACCAAACUUUGACAUUUCACAGAGUGAUGGUAGUAAUAAAUGACAAGGAAUGAGACCCAGCAUGGACCCAGUCCUUUGACCACUAUUAUUGUCCAGCUCAAUUGAAAUUUUUUUAUUAAGAGUUUAACUUAGUUGAAUAUGAUAAAUAAAUUAUUAUAAUUUUUUAAUAUUUAUUUUUAAUUUUUAUGAAUAAAAAACUAUUACAAUCUCAGUUCAUUUUCUUGGGACACGUAAUCAAGUUUAAUAACUAUUUCUCAUAGCUUAAAAAUUCAGUUAUGUCGAGUAUUUAUGUACAAAUUAGUUAGAACAAUAGGCGCGUAUAGUGGUCGCCCUCUAAGACAUAUAAUUGUGAAGAUCGAAGAGAAGCUUUAUACAAUUAUUAAUGAUAAAACUAUCAUUGUUAUAUAACAUGGGGCCAUAAAUGAGUGCAUGGAUUGAAUGAUGCAAAAUUGUUACAACUUAAUUAAUUAUCUUGAGUUUUAAUUUUAAAUAUAUAUUUGUGUUAAAUACUCCGGAAAGAGUUUUAUGUUCAUAAUUAUUAUAUUUAACUUGAACAAUAUUAACUCAACUGAUGAUGCAUAUAUAGUUUAUACAAAAAAUAUAUAUAUAACAUGGGACCUAGGCGAUGGCAAAACGGGUUGGAUCUAUUCGAUCAACCCAUUUUGGGCUUUUUUUUCGAAUUAGGUUGGAAUUUUCAAUCCUUCAACUGCUUUGCUAUGUUUUGAUCCGCUACAAAAUGGGUUGAGAGGAAAGUAGAACGGACCAACUCUCUAACCCGUUUUUUUUAUUAAGAAAUAAUUUUAGUAUUUAUUUUGAUAUUUUAUACUAAUAUUUAUUAAUUUUCAAUUAGCUUAUUUUUUGUCUAAAUAAAUUAUUAUUAAAAAUUUAAGGUAAUACAUUUAAUUUUUUAGUAAGUAUUUAUUAUUUAAUAUUUAUAAAAGAUAAAAUUAAUUAAAAUACAUUUAUAAUUUAUUUUUUUAGUUUUGACAUGACAAAAACGAAAUGAACUGAACACUUUGAAUCUAUAUAUAAAAUACGGGAUGAGAUGGGAUGGAUUGAUCCGUUUUUUAUGGAUUGAUCCCUUUUUGCUAGCCCUAAUGGGACCAAAGAGUCACUAUCCUUUAGAAAAAUUCACACCAAACUUUUGACAUUACAGGCAGGGACAAUGCGAGUAAUAAAUGGCAUAGAAUGAGACCCUAGUCCUCUGGCCACUAUAAAAAGGGAUGAUUGUGUGUGUUACAUGCAUCAGCCACCACCAUUGACUAGUAUCAUUAAGAUGGCUAAUUCCUACUUAUCCUUGCUUGUCUUGAUCCUUGUAGCUCUGCUCCUCACCCCUCAAGGGCUUGCUGAUGAAUCUGAUUCUUACUAUAAGCCACCAGUUUACAAGAAACCACCAGUGUACAAGCCCAAGCCCAAGCCACCCAUUCACAAGCCCAAGCCACCCGUUUACAAGCCCAAGCCACCCGUUUACAAGAAACCCCCUUAUGGUAAGUACCCACCAGUUCAAGACAACGAUCACUUCUAAACCAUGCAACAAGGCAUGUUAAUGUUAACUAUCUACUAAAAUAAAGAGGUUCAGUUAACCUACUACGUACGUUGCUCCUUUUAAUUCCUAAAUCGUAAUUUACAACUUUGUAGGGAUGAGACAUUCUUGGCUAGCUCUGCACUUCAAUCCUUUAUUUGUACAAUGCUAUGGCCAAGUCAAUACCAUGCAUCUUAUCUAUGUGUGUCAUUGAACGAAGUAGUUGCGUGAAAAUGAUGCUUGUACUAUGAAUAAAUAAUAAAAGAACUUUAUCAUUUCAAGAUUGUGCUGUUUAGUUUAUUUGCUGAACCACCGUUACUGACCAUAAAUAAUACACAUGCAGGUCUUGUUUAGGAUAAACUUAAUUAUCCGUAA
rnacentral:lncRNA from 1 species